rnacentral:rRNA from 1 species
AUUGAACGCUGGCGGCAUGCCUUACACAUGCAAGUCGAACGGCAGCACGGGGGCAACCCUGGUGGCGAGUGGCGAACGGGUGAGUAAUGCAUCGGAACGUGCCCAGUAGUGGGGGAUAACCCGGCGAAAGCCGGGCUAAUACCGCAUACGACCUAAGGGUGAAAGCGGGGGACCGUAAGGCCUCGCGCUAUUGGAGCGGCCGAUGUCUGAUUAGCUAGUUGGCGGGGUAAGAGCCCACCAAGGCGACGAUCAGUAGCUGGUCUGAGAGGACGACCAGCCACACUGGGACUGAGACACGGCCCAGACUCCUACGGGAGGCUG